rnacentral:rRNA from 1 species
UACAGAGGGUGCAAGCGUUGUUCGGGAUUAUUGGGCGUAAAGGGCUCGUAGGCGGUUUGUCGCGUCGGGAGUGAAAACGCCGUGCUUAACACGGCGCUUGCUUUCGAUACGGGCAGACUAGAGGUAUGCAGGGGAGAACGGAAUUCCUGGUGUAGCGGUGAAAUGCGCAGAUAUCUGGAGGAACACCGGUGGCGAAGGCGGCAUCCUGGACCGGCAUUGACGCUGAGGCGCGAAAGCCAGGGGAGCAAAGCGGG